CGGAAAAUAUGCGUGAAACCGAGGAGAAUGCCAAUGGGUCAUCUAAAAAUAAUAAGGCUGUUAGACUGACCCGGAAAAGUCAUUCCAUUACGAAAGUGUCCGAAAUUAAAUUUCGUCUUGAAGUUGAUCGAAAGUCGAUACUAUCAUGGGACUAGUCCAAUUAUCACAGUUCAGUAUUGAUUAUGGAUCAAAUCAAAUCGCACAAUGAAUAUUUACUAUUGAAAAAAUCUUUUUUCUCAUCAUUUCACAUCAUUAUUAUACGCUUGACAAACUUUACUCAAAAGAGUAAUUCAUCCUUUUUGUCAUCCUCUUCCACUUUUACUUUCGCUACUAAACCUGAUCAUUAUAAUCAACCUUCUUCUUUACUCUGUCUACCUUCACUGUCUAAAAUUAGCACAAUUUACUUUUGUCAUUUCAUUGAUAUCUAACCAGAAAAUCCCUUCACAAAGUUCAUCUUUUCAAGUUUCAUUAGCCUGAUUAUCGCUUUCUUUCUCCUCAUAUUAUUCUUUUGUUUUGUAGGUUCUCAUUGUUUCUAAUUCCCUCUGUCUCUUAAUCAUCUCACCAUCUUAUCUCAAGCUAUUUUCAUGUCAUCUAAGUUAAAUAAUCUGCAAAUAUCUUCAUAUAAGACCAAUUUCCGAAUGAAAUGAACAACUACGUUAUAGCAAGAGUUGGAACAAAAGAAAUCUAAAUAUAUAAUUUCAAGUUCAAA